ACUGCGUGUGAUGUGAGAAGGAAACUUCUGAAAUACUACUGGGAAAAAGCAUGAGGCACAACGAAAGGCAAUGAGCAAGGUCUCAGGAAUUCCAGAUCACGAUCCACUCACCUAUGAAAUGAGAAAUGGUGGGGAAGGAAGAAAAAAGAUCUGCUUCGAGUGAAUCUGGAACAGAUACAUGGAGGGAUUCACCUUCUUCUGCAAACCUGGAAAAAGAGCACACAGCCCACAUGGAGCAGAGAAGCAGCCUUGACAAGAUGUGUUUGUUGGAGGCAAGGGCUAAAUGAAAUCAUCUGCCACCUGCAGAGCUGCAGGUGCCCUGGAGUAGCACAGUACAAACCUGCAGCUGCAUCCGGUGUCGGCAUCGUGGAGGCUGAGAAGGAAAACACACGAGUAACCAACAGCGCCUCGACAUCCCUAAGGGGUGCUUGGAUACUUGGAUACUGCUCCAGGAGCACAAAGGAGCAGCUGAAAAAUUUAAACCAUCACCAACAGCUUCCACUGAGGGGCAAGGAGGUGCUCUGUGUCCAGCUGAGUCUGAGGGGGAAGCUCAGCAGUGAGUUGCCCUUCACAGAGCAGCACAAAGCGAAUCGAUUUUCUCUCCUGUGCUGUAGCAUCCGCAGGGUAGCACUGUGUCAUGGGCUAUUCCCUGGGAACCAGAAGGGAACAAUGGGAACAAAAUGCACCUUGGAAUGAAAUGCUCUGUUGUCCAGCACCUUCUUAACCUGCUCUGCCUGUCCUAAAUGUGAAAUAAAGGGUAAUUGUUUCUCAUAAGCUAAGUAGAUUGAUGUUUAUAGGUGAAACCGAGUAAUGAGGACACCAGUGUUUGAGUGGAUGGCUGUUG